UACAAAAUAGGUUUAAUUAAUCUUCCUCAAUCAUUCUUAUUUUUCAGAUCUUCAGGAAUUUUACUGGGAUAAUUGUCCAAAUAAAUUGCAAGCAUUCUAUCCAAACGGUUCCAGGCUUGAAAAUUUUCCUGGGGGAUAGGGCAGGGAGAACAGGAACCUGGGAGCUCUUGCUGAGAUGAAGAGAACUCUCAAUGUCAAGAUUUGAACAAG
rnacentral:lncRNA from 1 species